rnacentral:rRNA from 1 species
UGGCUCAGGACGAACGCACGCGGCGUGCUUAACACAUGCAAGUCAACGAGAACGGUAUAGCAAUAUGCCUAGUAAAGUGGCGCAAGGGUGAGUAACGCGUAAGUAAUCUGCCCGCUGGAGAGGAAUAACUCAGAGAAAUUUGGGCUAAUACCUCAUAACGCAAUUUUAUCGCAUGAUAUAAUUGUUAAAGUUGCUUCGGUAACACCGGCGGAGGAGCUUGCGUCUGAUUAGCUAGUUGGUAGGGUAAAAGCCUACCAAGGCUGCGAUCAGUAGCUGGUCUGAGAGGAUGAUCAGUCACACUGGAACUGAGACACGGUCCAGACUCCUACGGGAGGCAGCAGUGAGGAAUAUUGGUCAAUGCCCGAAAGGGUGAACCAGCAUCGCCGCGUGGAGGAUGAAGGUCUUAGAUUGUAAACUCCUGUUAGGAAGGACGAAACGUCGGGUUUCGCAAGGUACCCGGCCUGACUGUACUUCCAGAGGAAGCCCCGGCUAACUACGUGCCAGCAGCCGCGGUAAUACGUAGGGGGCGAGCGUUGUCCGGAAUCACUGGGUGUAAAGGGCGCGCAGGCGGGCCUGUAAGUCAAAGGUGAAAUCCUACAGCUUAACUGUAGAACUGCCUUUGAUACUGUAGGCCUUGAGCUCAGAAGAGAGAAGCGGAAUUCCAGGUGUAGUGGUGAAAUACGUAGAUAUCUGGAAGAACACCAGUUGCGAAGGCGGCUUCUUGGUCUGUAACUGACGCUCAGGCGCGAAAGCGUGGGUAGCAAACAGGAUUAGAUACCCUGGUAGUCCACGCUGUAAAUGAUGAAUGCUAGAUGUCGGGUCGUUCAGGCUCGGUGUCAAAGUUAACGCAUUAAGCAUUCCACCUGGGGAGUACGAUCGCAAGGUUGAAACUCAAAGGAAUUGACGGGGGCCCGCACAAGCAGUGGAGCAUGUGGUUUAAUUCGAUGCAACGCGAAGAACCCUACCUGGGCUUGAAACGCUAGUGACCGGCUGUGAAAACAGCCUUUCCUUCGGGACACUAGUACAGGUGCUGCAUGGCUGUCGUCAGCUCGUGCCGUGAGGUGUUGGGUUAAGUCCCGCAACGAGCGCAACCCCUACUAUUAGUUGCCACCGGAUAAUGCCGAGCACUCUAAUAGAACUGCCUACGCAAGUAGUGAGGAAGGUGGGGAUGACGUCAAGUCCGCAUGGCCCUUACGUCCAGGGCUACACACGUGCUACAAUGGAUACUACAAUGGGCAGCGAUACCGCGAGGUUGAGCGAAUCCCAUAAAAGUAUCCCCAGUUCGGAUUGGAGUCUGCAACUCGACUCCAUGAAGUUGGAAUUGCUAGUAAUCGCGUAUCAGAACGACGCGGUGAAUACGUUCCCGGGCCUUGUACACACCGCCCGUCAAGCCAUGGAAGCUGGGGGUACCCAAAGACGGCGACCCAACUUUCGAGAGGGAACCGUCUAAGGUAA